rnacentral:rRNA from 1 species
UACGAAGGGGACUAGCGUUGUUCGGAAUCACUGGGCGUAAAGCGCACGUAGGCGGAUUUGUAAGUCAGGGGUGAAAUCCCGGGGCUCAACCUCGGAACUGCCUUUGAUACUGCGAAUCUCGAGUCCGAUAGAGGUGGGUGGAAUUCCUAGUGUAGAGGUGAAAUUCGUAGAUAUUAGGAAGAACACCGGUGGCGAAGGCGGCCCACUGGAUCGGUACUGACGCUGAAGGUGCGAAAGCGUGGGGAG